UCAGAAUUACUACAUAUGGGAAAUAUUUGAAAAUGGUGUAUUAUGAAUUAGUUUUCCUGUGUUUGUUCUGUCGGUUCGUAGUGCAUGAGAACUGAGUUGUAAUGAUCUAUGUGGCGUGUCGGUUCUUGGGGUUCUUGAAACUUCUCUGUCUUCUUUCUUAGCAAGCUCUGCUAAUAUCUUUCUUUUGGUGCAAAAUGACUUCUCUUAAAAUGUCUUGUUAGUAGCACUGCCCUAGGGCACUGUGGCUGAAAUAACAUGUUCUUAAAACAUUGUCCUGUUUCUUGAAGUGCCUGAGGCUCCUAAGCCUGUCCCAGAAGAGAAAGUCCCCGUUCCCAAAAAGGUGCCGGCGCCUCCUGCAAAAGUGCCUGAGGUGCCCAAGAAAGUUGUCCCUGAAAAGAAGGUGCCAGCCCCUCCUCCUAAAAAAGUGGAGGCACCACCUGCGAAAGGUACAUCUAUUCUUACCUGUAUUUUAAAAGAAUAUUCUUUCGUCUUUCUAGAUUGUGUGUUUUCUUAGUCUGUCCAAUACAGUAGGACCUCUGUAUCUGCGGGAUCGAUAUCCACGGUUUCACUUAUCCAGGGUUUGCCACAGCCCUAUACACAACAUACAAGGGCACCCAUUUGUGGCCCAUGUCCUCCUCCUUGUGGCCUUUGUCUCACCCUCUUGUAAGUUGUAUAUAGGGUUCCCUCAUAUCCACAGUUUUAGGCAUCCACGGCAGAUAUGGGGGUCCUACUGCAUGUGUA
rnacentral:lncRNA from 1 species